rnacentral:rRNA from 1 species
UGGGGAAUAUUGGACAAUGGGCGAAAGCCUGAUCCAGCCAUGCCGCGUGUGUGAAGAAGGUCUUCGGAUUGUAAAGCACUUUAAGUUGGGAGGAAGGGCAGUAAGCGAAUACCUUGCUGUUUUGACGUUACCGACAGAAUAAGCACCGGCUAACUCUGUGCCAGCAGCCGCGGUAAUACAGAGGGUGCAAGCGUUGAUCGGAAUUACUGGGCGUAAAGCGCGCGUAGGUGGUUCGUUAAGUUGAAUGUGAAAGCCCCGGGCUCAACCUGGGAACUGCAUCCAAAACUGGCGAGCUAGAGUAGGGCAGAGGGUGGUGGAAUUUCCUGUGUAGCGGUGAAAUGCGUAGAUAUAGGAAGGAACACCAGUGGCGAAGGCGACCACCUGGGCUCAUACUGACACUGAGGUGCGAAAGCGUGGGGAGCGAACAGG